UACGGGGGGGGCAAGCGUUGUUCGGAAUUACUGGGCGUAAAGGGCUCGUAGGCGGCCAACUAAGUCAGACGUGAAAUCCCUCGGCUUAACCGGGGAACUGCGUCUGAUACUGGAUGGCUUGAGUUCGGGAGAGGGAUGCGGAAUUCCAGGUGUAGCGGUGAAAUGCGUAGAUAUCUGGAGGAACACCGGUGGCGAAGGCGGCAUCCUGGACCAAUAUUGACGCUGAGGAGCGAAAGCUAGGGGAGCAAACGGG
rnacentral:rRNA from 1 species